UGUUACUCUGCAGAAGACAAAUCCGGUGCUCUAAUGCAAAGCAGGUAAAACUAUACAUACUGCUUGCAUCUAUCUGCACAGUAUACACAUAUAUUUGUGAUGAUGCAGAUUAGCUUAAAAUAUUCAAGCUGAGGUUGAUAUUGAUUGAUGUAUUUUUUUAUAUAAUUGAUAUGAUUGCAUGAAAAAUCUCUUACUGUAUCAUAAUAUAUUCCUUAAUUCUACAAAUAUUUUAUCAAUCUCAUAGAUAAGAUAGAUAAUGAACCUAUUAAUUUUGUAUAGCUCAAAUUAGUGAUCUAAAAUGUUUGAACUCAUCAUAUCCUUAUCGAUCAUUCAAAGUCUUAAUCCACUCCAGUUUACUUGUGUGCCUUUCUAUGAUAUGUGCCCCCACCCAAUUUUCCUUUUCUACAAAACUACAUCAUUGUGAUAUUGACAUGCAAAAUGGGCCACAUUAUGAUUUGAUAUGCCCUCACCAUUAGGCUUAGCUUAUCAUACAAUCUAUGUGUCUUGCAGGUCUUGGACACCCUACACACAGUCUCAAAUGAUCUAUGGCAUCGAAUCUAAUUAAUCUGGUCAUCGACAAGCAUAGAUAUACUGGUGACAAGUAUAUAUCAAUCCAGCGUGGAAGCCAAUUCCACUUCACCAAAGUGACAACAUCGAACUAGCUACCACCUCCCUCAAUCGAUUGGGUACAACAGUCCCAUAUAUCCCAAGCUUUAAUGUCGUAUGUCACCUACUGUUCCGCUUUGUACAAUAAUAGGGUCACCAUUCAUCUCAUCUCGAUAGAGCACUUUGUAAUGAUGAAUGCCACCCAUAGUCUUGUAGGCCAUGAAUUGGAAUGGGUCCUUCCGAGAAAUUAUUAUCU
rnacentral:lncRNA from 1 species